AGGAACUAACAGUGAGCCGAGAUCGCACCACUGCACUCCAGCCUGGGCGACAGAGCAAGAUUCUGUCUCAAAAAAAAAAAAAAAAGAUUGAGGGGUUCAUCAGUCUUUGCUAUUUCUCAUGGAAGGACCAGGCAAUUACUUAUAUUAAUACAACCACACCGAUGACCACUUCUUAAGAUUAUUUUUUCAGACGGUGCGGCGUGGCUCAUACUGGUAAUCCCAGCAAUUUGGGCUGCUGAAGCAUGCGGAUUGCUUGAGCGCGGGAGUUUGAGACCAGCCUGGGCAAUAUGGACUCAAGGCUUUCUAGCACAGACUCCACCCCUCCAAUUUCCGGUCCAUCAACACCAACCCACAGAUCACCUUCUGAUCAAAGGCUGGAAAGAGGGAAAACUUGAGCCUACCUGGGAAGGACCCUAUGUGAUGCUCAUAACAACUAAGACAGCAGUCCGAGCCACUGAGAAAGGGUGAACUCAUUAUACUCCAGUUAAAAAGCAAUUACCUUGUCCAAAGCCAUGGAUGGUUGUCCCAGGGUCAACUCCCACCAAAGUAAUGUUAAAGAAAAAAGCUUAAUCUACCUAUCUCUUCUUUUCUUUUCCUUAACUGCUCCCCAUCUUAUAAUUAAGGUAACUAGAUCAAGUCCACCCCAGAUUAUUACCUUUGAUGCUUGUUUAGUCAUAUCCUGUGGAUAUUUACAAAACCAAAGACAGUUACUGCUUCAGAGAAAUAUCUCUGCCCCUCUUGGACUUCCUCAGAUUGGAAAGAUAUAGUAAAUUCCUACAUAGAUAAUAAUCCCAAGAAUAGUAGUUGUAUUAACUGGUGGGAAUGGGACUCUUGUCCCCCUAAAAUAGAGUCCCUCUGCUAUACUUGGUCUAAUGUCCUAUUGAACACCAAAGGUCUAGGCUGAACUGCUCCCACAAGUCUUUGUCAGUUCUUAAAACCAUAUAUCCAUUUUACCAAAGAGGCCGCUCCUACUAAUUGUCAACAUAACCAGUGUAAUCCUGUACAGCUUACUAUCACUAUUGCAACAUCCCCAAACUCUUCCCCAUCAUUAAGUCGUAUUUAUGGUAUGGGAGCUGACAUCUCAGGAACAGAUCCUAGAGGAUUUUUUGAAAUACACUUUGUUGCUGCUUCAACCUCUCUAUCCCAUCCUCCUAAAACAAUCACCCAUCUCAUACCCAAUGACAAAACCAAAGUAGCAUAGUAGGAGUAAAAGACCUAAGGCAAACUUUAGCAAUUGAGACAGGGUACCAAGAUGCAAAUACCUGGUUGGAAUGGAUUAAAUAUUCCAUCCACGUUCUAAAUAAAAGCUAUUGUUACGCUUGUGUGCAUGGUAGACCAGAGGCCCAAACUGUCCCCUUUCCACUUGGAUGGUCUUCUAAUUGACCAGACAUGGACUGCAUGGUGGCUCUCUUCCAAGACCCCACGGCCUGGGGUAAUAAAUCAUGCCAAACACUCUCUCUGCUAUUCCCUGAGGUCCAGCACCCUGCAGGUCAGCCCCUGAGGGCCAUCCAGCCUUCAUCUUCCAGGGCCAAUUUUGCCUCCUGUCUCUCACGACAGGGGGAAAACUUUGUGUUCCUUGGAAACCUAACAGGAUGCAGUGAGCUCAGGCACUUCCAAGAGCUAACCCAUCAAUCCGCCCCUAUCCAUCCUCGAGCAGAUGUAUGCUGGUAUUGUGGUGGACCUUUACUGGACACUCUGUCAAGUAACUGGAGUGGUACUUGCACUCUAAUUCAAUUGACUGUCCCUUUCACCCUGACAUUUCAUACACUGUAGGAAAUAACAACCAAACACUGGAGCACAAGAAAUGUCCCUUGUAAGUCCUUUGACCCUAAUGUUUAUAUAGAUGCGAUUGGAGUCCCACAAGGAGUACCAGAUGAAUUUAAAGCCCAAAAUCAAAUAGCCGCAGGAUUUGAGUCAUUAUUUGGGUGGGUGACUAUCAGUAAAAAUGUAGACUGGAUAAAUUAUAUUUACUACAACCAGCAACAGUUUGUUAAUUAUAUAAGAGAUGCUAUUAAAGGAAUAGCUGAGCAAUUAGGACCCGCCAGUCAAAUGGCUUGGGAACAUAGAAUAGCAUUAGACAUGAUACUAGCAGAAAAGGGUGGAGUUUGUAUUAUGAUUGGAACCCCAUGUUGUACCUUUAUCCACAAUAAUACUGCCCCUGAUGGAACUAUAACAAAAACACUACAAGGUCUUACUGCUUUAUCAAGUGAACUAACUAAAAAUUCUGGGAUAAAUGAUCCUUUCACUAACUUAAUGAAGAGAUAGUUUGGCAAAUGGAAGGGACUCAUGUCCUCAGUCUUCACCUCACCUGCCCUUACAGUAAGUGUGCUUAUCCUUGUAGGAUGUCAUAUCAUACCUUGUAUUCAUGGAUUACUGCAAAAGCUUUUAGAAAAAGCUCUUACCAAAAUCCUUUUCAACUUUCCUCCUCCUUAUUCGGAUAAGUUGCUCCUUCUAACUGACCAAGAAGAGCAAUUGAGUCAAGACAUUUUAAAAAGAUUUGAAGAGGAAGAAUGUAAAAUCAAGAGGGGAAAAUUUUUAAGAAUAAAAGUUCCUCUUCAAAGUUUACCUUCUUGUUAAGAAUAAUAAGUUUUAAGAAGGAUAGUUCCUCUUAAAAGCUUCUUUCAGGUUUCCUUUAUGUUUCAUAGUGACAAAUCUUUUACUCUACUAAUCACUCUUUGUUGUCCCCUGGGUGGUUGUUAAAUACAGUAAAGGAAUAAGCAUAUCCUAUGUCCUUGUAAUAUUAAUUGAAGGCCUAACCCAUUUGUUCCCUGAUCUGCCUGGACAUGCCCAGACAUGCCCAGGCACAUUCUAGCUUGCUGCCUAUGCUUCUUUCCUUAUUUGGAAAUGUUACUGUCCUCCUAGUUUCCCGCAAGCAACCCCCUCCCUUUCUUUGUUGCCCAUUGCACCUUUACCUAUUUAGAAAAGUUUAAGUUUUUAGCCAAUUGGGAUCAGUCUAGAUUAUGCAGUCCAGCUGCAGCCAAUGGAGAUAGGACACAGCAGUAGGGACCCAAUGUGUCAGGGAUAAGAACCCCUGCUUUCCUUUGUUCAGGGUGCUCUCAUGGCGAUCAAGCUUACAGGUAGCACCCUUCUACAGAAGUAAAUUCACGUUACUGAUCAAU